rnacentral:Y_RNA from 1 species
GGCUGGUCUGAUAGUGGGUUAUUAGAACUUAUUAACAUUAGUGUCACUAAAGUUGGUAUUCAACCCCCCACUGCUAAAUUUGAUUGGCUAAAA